ensembl:snRNA U6 U6 spliceosomal RNA
AUGCUUCGGCAGCACAUCUACUAAAAUUGGGGCAAUACAGAGAAGAUUAGCACGGCCCCUGCGCAAGGGUGACAUGCACAUUCAUGAAGCAUUCCGUAUUUAA